rnacentral:lncRNA from 1 species
GCAGGAGAAUGGCUUGAACCCAGGAGGCGGAGGUUGCAGUGAGCCAAGAUGGCGCCACUGCACUCCAUCCAGACUGGGAGACAGAACAAGACUCUGUCCCAAAAAAAAAAAAAAAAAAAAAGAGAAAAUGUAACCUGAUUCUGUAGUCUCAGGCUGAUGAAUUUUGGAACACUUAGCCGUAUAAUCAGGUGUCACUGGUAUGGCAUACUCCACAGUUUGGGAUAUAAAUAUAGUCUCAUCUUUUAUUUUUCCAUUAAUCACUUGAGAGCCCAACUGCAGUUAGUGGCAGGAGGUCCAGUAUCUCCCUGGAGACCUUCCUACCAACCCUCUGAAUUGUUCAAGAACAAGGGCUUCUGCCUGUCUUGUCAGGUCCUUGGGAGAGAGUGGAGGAGAUGGUGUUCUCGUGUUAAUUGAGGCUGAGAAAGCAGCACUGCUCACGUUUUGCUUUAUUUUCUUCCUCUCCUAGGCAGAAUCAGUGUUACAUUUGUGGUCAGAUGAGCUAACGACAUCCUUCCUGACUUCUUUCUCAGAAUUAGGAAACCCUGAUUAGCAUUUAGAACCUCAUUUUCACAGACUUCACUCAUUAAAACAUCAAGACCUAGGUAACGCACCACUGAAAUUUCAUAAUAUGGAGGAUAUGUUUAAAUAUGUUUAAAAUAUGUAUUUUUAACUGUGGUUAAAAUAUGUUUUUAAAAUGUUUAUGAGUCAAAAUAAUUAAAAUUGCCAUUUAACGUAAGAAUUGAUUGUUGCUUCUUCUUCUUCUAAGAGAGAUGACAAAAUUCUGUUUGGUGGGGAAAUAAAUCUCUAUCUUAUUCCCUGCUCUUCCCAGAAGCUAUUGGGGGAGGCAAAAGGAAAAGAGAGCUCGA